rnacentral:rRNA from 1 species
CACCUACGGGUGGCAGCAGUGGGGAAUAUUGCACAAUGGGCGGAAGCCUGAUGCAGCAACGCCGCGUGAGGGAUGACGGCCUUCGGGUUGUAAACCUCUUUUAGCAGGGAAGAAGCGUGAGUGACGGUACCUGCAGAAAAAGCGCCGGCUAACUACGUGCCAGCAGCCGCGGUAAUACGUAGGGCGCAAGCGUUAUCCGGAAUUAUUGGGCGUAAAGAGCUCGUAGGCGGUUUGUCGCGUCUGCUGUGAAAUCCCGAGGCUCAACCUCGGGCCUGCAGUGGGUACGGGCAGACUAGAGUGCGGUAGGGGAGAUUGGAAUUCCUGGUGUAGCGGUGGAAUGCGCAGAUAUCAGGAGGAACACCGAUGGCGAAGGCAGAUCUCUGGGCCGUAACUGACGCUGAGGAGCGAAAGGGUGGGGAGCAAACAGGCUUAGAUACCCUGGUAGUCCACCCCGUAAACGUUGGGAACUAGUUGUGGGGUCCAUUCCACGGAUUCCGUGACGCAGCUAACGCAUUAA